rnacentral:tRNA from 1 species
UAGUUCAGUGGUAGAGUGCAUGCUUAGCAUGCAUGAGGUUCUGGGUUCAAUCCCCAG